GCCACCGUGGCUUAGCGGUAUACCCCCAUUGGUAAUGAGGGGGUCGCGAGUUCGAUUCUCGCCGGUGGCCCC
rnacentral:tRNA from 1 species